UUCCGGUUGAUCCUGCCGGACCUGACUGCUAUCGGAUUGAUACUAAGCCAUGUGAGUCUUUGUAGCAAUACAAGGCAUACGGCUCAGUAACACGUAGCCAAUCUACCCUAUGGACGGGGAUAACCUCGGGAAACUGAGGAUAAUACCCGAUAGAUCAUUAUGCCUGGAACGGUUUAUGGUCUAAGUGAUUCGUCGCCAUAGGAUGGGACUGCGGCCUAUCAGCUUGUUGGUGAGGUAAUGGCCCACCAAGGCUAUUACAGGUACGGGCUCUGAGAGGAGAGGCCCGGAGAUGGGUACUGAGACACGGACCCAGGCCCUAUGGGGCGCAGCAGGCGAGAAAACUUUGCAAUGUGCGAAAGCACGACAAGGUUAAUCCGAGUGAUUCCUGCUAAAGGAAUCUUUUGUUGGUCGUAACACCACUGAUGAAUAAGGGGUGGGCAAGUUCUGGUGUCAGCCGCCGCGGUAAAACCAGCACCUCAAGUGGUCAGGAGGAUUAUUGGGCCUAAAGCAUCCGUAGCCUGCUCUGUAAGUUUCCGGUUAAAUCCAUCUGCUUAACUGAUGGGCUGCCGAAAAUACUGCAGAGCUAGGAAGUGGGAGAGGUAGACGGUACUCGGUAGGAAGGGGUAAAAUCCUUUGAUCUAUUGAUGACCACCAGUGGCGAAGGCGGUCUACCAGAACACGUUCGACGGUGAGGGAUGAAAGCUGGGGGAGCAAACCGGAUUAGAUACCCGGGUAGUCCCAGCUGUAAACGAUGCAGACUCGGUGAUGCUCUGGCUUGUGGCCAGUGCAGUGCCGCAGGGAAGCCGUUAAGUUUGCCGCCUGGGAAGUACGUACGCAAGUAUGAAACUUAAAGGAAUUGGCGGGGGAGCACCACAAGGGGUGAAGCCUGCGGUUCAAUUGGAUUCAACGCCGGA
rnacentral:rRNA from 1 species